GAUGAACGCUGGCGGCGUGCUUAACACAUGCAAGUCGAACGAAGCGCUUUUGAUUGAUUCUUCGGAUGAAAGAGAUUGUGACUGAGUGGCGGACGGGUGAGUAACGCGUGGGUAACCUGCCUCAUACAGGGGGAUAACAGUUAGAAAUGACUGCUAAUACCGCAUAAGCGCACGGUAUCGCAUGAUACAGUGUGAAAAGCCGAGACGGUAUGAGAUGGACCCGCGUCUGAUUAGCUGGUUGGUGGGGUAACGGCCCACCAAGGCGACGAUCAGUAGCCGGCCUGAGAGGGUGAACGGCCACAUUGGGACUGAGACACGGCCCAA
rnacentral:rRNA from 1 species